rnacentral:rRNA from 1 species
UACGUAGGGUGCAAGCGUUGUCCGGAAUCAUUGGGCGUAAAGAGCGUGUAGGCGGCCCGAUCAGUCCGCUGUAAAAGUCCAGGGCUCAACCCUGGGAUGCCGGUGGAUACUGUCGGGCUAGAGUCCGGAAGAGGCGAGUGGAAUUCCUGGUGUAGCGGUGAAAUGCGCAGAUAUCAGGAGGAACACCAAUGGCGAAGGCAGCUCGCUGGGGACGGUACUGACGCUGAGACGCGAAAGCGUGGGGAGCAAACAGG